GUGGGCCUGUCUUCUCUGUUCUUACACUGACUGUACAGAAAGAGACCCACCCUAUAUACACCUCUGCCCAGGCCCUAUGCCUGGUCUGAAUUGUGAAUGAGGGGACACAG
rnacentral:snoRNA from 1 species